GCUGUGUUGGGAAAAUCAGGUGUAUGUAAUUAUAUGUAAAUUUGGCCACACCCACAUUUGAGUUGUGAGUGGACUGGAGGCAUGCUGCCCAAGAUGGCUGACUUUGAAGACUAUUUUCUGUUCAUAUUGGAUAACUACUUCAGGAUUUAUGUUUGGCCCUGUAGCAUAACGGAGAAAUUGGAGUUACACCAGCUGUGGAUAAAUGGACUUCUAUGCUUCCUGUUGGACGUUGGUCGAGGUCUUGCUUCAGCGGCUUCUGUUUAUCUACAGUUGGCGAUGCCUUCUGAGCCAGAGAAGUCCAGUAAAGCUAGUGUUUUACCGGAGAGAAUCCCUUCAUUAUUCAAUAAAGAGAGUAAUGGAUAGGCCGGAUAUUCUCCUUAAUUAAAAUAAUUACGGC
ensembl:lncRNA